rnacentral:rRNA from 1 species
AUACGGAGGGUGCAAGCGUUAUCCGGAUUUAUUGGGUUUAAAGGGUUCGUAGGCGGAUCAAUAAGUCCGUGGUGAAAGCCUGUGGCUCAACCAUAGAACUGCCAUUGAUACUGUUGAUCUUGAGUACACUUGAAGUGGGCGGAAUGCGUCAUGUAGCGGUGAAAUGCAUAGAUAUGACGCAGAACACCGAUUGCGAAGGCAGCUCACUAAAUUGUAACUGACGCUGAGGAACGAAAGCGUGGGGAGCGAACAGGAUUAGAUACCCCAGUAGUCC